AUGAACGCUGGCGGCGUGCUUAACACAUGCAAGUCGAACGGAAAGGCUCCUGCUUGCAGGGGUACUCGAGUGGCGAACGGGUGAGUAACACGUGGGUGAUCUGCCCUGCACUUCGGGAUAAGCCUGGGAAACUGGGUCUAAUACCGGAUAGGACCACAUUUUGGAUGGUGUGGUGGAAAGUUUUUCGGUGUGGGAUGAGCUCGCGGCCUAUCAGCUUGUUGGUGGGGUAAUGGCCUACCAAGGCGUCGACGGGUAGCCGGCCUGAGAGGGUGUACGGCCACAUUGGGACUGAGAUACGGCCCAGACUCCUACGGGAGGCAGCAGUGGGGAAUAUUGCACAAUGGGCGCAAGCCUGAUGCAGCGACGCCGCGUGGGGGAUGACGGCCUUCGGGUUGUAAACUCCUUUCGCUAGGGACGAAGCGUUUUUGUGACGGUACCUGGAGAAGAAGCACCGGCUGACUACGUG
rnacentral:rRNA from 1 species